rnacentral:rRNA from 1 species
GAUGAACGCUGGCGGCGUGCCUAAUACAUGCAAGUCGAGCGAACAGACGAGGAGCUUGCUCCUCUGACGUUAGCGGCGGACGGGUGAGUAACACGUGGAUAACCUACCUAUAAGACUGGGAUAACUUCGGGAAACCGGAGCUAAUACCGGAUAACGUGUUGAACCGCAUGGUUCAACAGUGAAAGACGGUCUUGCUGUCACUUAUAGAUGGAUCCGCGCCGCAUUAGCUAGUUGGUAAGGUAACGGCUUACCAAGGCAACGAUGCGUAGCCGACCUGAGAGGGUGAUCGGCCACACUGGAACUGAGACACGGUCCAGACUCCUACGGGAGGCAGCAGUAGGGAAUCUUCCGCAAUGGGCGAAAGCCUGACGGAGCAACGCCGCGUGAGUGAAGAAGGUCUUCGGAUCGUAAAACUCUGUUAUUAGGGAAGAACAAAUGUGUAAGUAACUAUGCACGUCUUGACGGUACCUAAUCAGAAAGCCACGGCUAACUACGUG